CGCGGGAUGGAGCAGUCUGGUAGCUCGUCGGGCGCAUAACCCGAAGGUCGUAGGUGCGAAUCCUGCCCCCGCAACCA
rnacentral:tRNA from 1 species